AAUGAUAGCAUGCCUACUGUACUCUGGAUAUGGGACAUAAACCAUCUUGAGCUAGCUGCCAUCUUAGUUCAGAAAGAUCCCAUCCGGACUGCAGCCUGGGAUCCCACAUGUCCACGUUUGGUUUUAUGUACUGGAAGCUCCCACUUGUACAUGUGGACACCUUUGGGUGCUUAUUGCAUAAAUGUUCCAUUGCCUCAAUUUGCUGUAAUUGAUCUGAAAUGGAACUCAGAUGGGAGCUGCCUUUUUCUCAAAGACAAGGAGUCAUUCUGCUGUGCUGCUCCGGAGAUACUGCAGGAAUCCAGUGAUUAUAGCUCUGACGACUGAUGAUUCUAUCAUACACAUAAUGAAACUUAAUGGAGCUGAAAUUUUUUGCUCAUCACAUCUCCCAAAGUAUCAUCCCUCAAGGAGGCAGCUUAGCUUGCUUAUUAUUUUUCAGUUUGCACUAUUGACAUGGAGGAAGAGGUAAUCUUAGGCUGUAAUAAUCUGGUUUAUUUGCAUUCUAAUGGCGUAUAUUUGAGAUCCAAAAAGGUAGGACAGAUUUUAGAAUCCAGAUUUGUAACGUAAUCUCCUGACAGAUAAGUCAAAGGGGGUCUUUUGAGAGGACCUUUGCCUAUGCUGGAUACCAAAUUUAAUGUACUAAUAAAUUAUCUCUAAGUUAAUGCGCAAUGCCUGAAGCACAACUAUUGCCUGCAUGCGAUGGAGUGUUCCAUCCCAUCUCAAAAACACAAAGGUUUCUUCACUGGCUUGCAGUGCCUUGACUUGAGUUCUAACUGUCGGAUUGAGUGAGAUUACCAGAUAUCUGCGACUACAUCUUUAGAUUCAUCGAUCUAUUUUGAUGGAAGAUGGUGCAAGUGCAACGAACAGUUGGUUCGAAAACAUUCCCCAGCUCACUGUGAACUGAACAAUUGAAAUUUUGGGCACAAACAAGUUUAAGUGGAAAUAUUGGCUUAUUUAUUCUUCAGAUGGCAUAAAAGUUAAUGGUAGGAGUUUUUUUUUUUUUUUUUUUUUUUUGUAGUUGAAUAUGAUCAGUUAGAUACUAAUAUUCAACUUCUUGGUUUCUUAAAGAGUAUGUGGGACAAAAUGUGCAGUUUCCCGAAAAUUAACUUCUUGAUCUUUUCCUUAUUGUACGUGAUGUGUGUUGGAGUAUCUAUAAGCUAUAUCUAUAUAUCUAUGUAUCUAUAUAUAUAAUAUAUUAAAAGUGUGAAAAUUUUUGAUUUGAAUUUUUUGCCCUUCAUUAAAAGUUUUCACAAUAGACAAAACUAUCUUUUUAUUAUUUUCAUAUUUAUAAUAUUUGAAUUUUAAAAUUAAGAAAUCCUAAAAUAUAUGGUAAAAAAAAUAAUUAGCAUAUUUUAACCCUAGCGAUUUGGAAGUAAAAAUAUAAUAGAUUUUAUUUUAAUGUUGGUAGGUUUUUUAUCCCCAUAAUUAAUAUUAAACCACUCUUUCUAUAUUUAGUUGUACUUGGCUUCUUUACUACUAUGUUUCCUUUUCAUACUAUCUUGGAUAUGCUGUAGUUGAGUCGUUGAUCUAUCUGAAACAAGUACAACCUCUCUACACUCACAAGGUAUGGGUAAGGCUGCGUAUGUACCACCCUCUCCGGACUCCACUGGGCAUGUUAUUGUAUAGGGGAGAGGGGGUGGGAAAUCUUAAUAGUCCAUUGGGAAAAUGUGGUUCUGGUUUGCUCAUUAGAAUUUUUUUUAUUUUUGAUAAAGGUAUUUUAUUACUCUCUCUAUUCCAAUUUUUAUGUGACUUACUUUCCCUGUCCCAAUUUAUUUGGCACACUUUCUUUUUUAGUUCCCCACUUUGUGAGAGUAAAUGGGUAUGUUGUUGUUGUUAUUGUACAUUCAUUUUUAGUCCAUCCCAAAAAGAAUGCCACCUUUCUAUAAUAAGAAAGAAUCUAAUUUUAAAAUUUCCCUUUUACCUCAAUGAAACGAUUUAUAAUCACACAAUUGUCUAUGGUGUUUUAGAUCACAAAUUUCAAAUGGUCUUCCUUUUUCUUAAACUUUUUGCCAAUGUCACAUAAAUUGACGGAAGGAGUAGUAUGAAUCAGCACAAAAUUGAAGAAAUAAUGACUUCUGAAACAUGUCGCUUAAAACAUACCAUAGCUUUUUUGGCUCUUAUUCCACAUGAUGCAUAGUGGGCUAGUCUUCUUCCAUGUUUUCUUCUAAAUCUUCUAAAUUCUUCACCCAUGCCAUCAAGAUAGUAGAAUUUCACAUCUUGGGGCAUCACUGUUAGAACUCCAAAGAUAUUUAAGAAGAAAGACCAAAUCUGCCAAAGAUAUUGAAUAGGUCUCAAGUUCAAAUCCCAAGGCAAUAAACAGUGGGUGAUUUUUCUAUAUGUCAAAGCCUUGUUUGACGGUGUUAUCCGGUAUUUGAGUUGGUGGGAGUUAGCAAGUGCCUGGUGGAAUAGUUGAGGUGGGCGCAGCUAGCCUGGGUACCACUGUCAUAAACAAAAGAUGUUGCUGGUUUUUAUAGGAUAUCACUUGAAAAAACACCUCUUGCAAAGUGAAUAGCCUGUUCUCUGAAAUGCAACUUGAAUCAGACAAGCGAUGCUGUAAAGCUAUCCAAAGCAAGCUGCUUCAGUUGCUGCUGCCUUUGUUCUCCAUAACUAUAACAUCCUACCAGGCCGAUUAUUUUCCCAGCUCAUUGAUUGGUUUUGCAGCAGCGAGUACUAGCUUUUUACAGCUCCUUGAUUGUUUUGUGCUCGUUAGGGAUUUGAGGUUUGACCGUUAAGCUAAUGACACAUGUUCUAAUUCCUGACAAAGUUUAACUAACGCAAUGCCUGUAUCAACCUGAUCUAUAUUGGUAUGUUUGAAGAAGGUGAUGAAGAGAGAGAACUCCGUUUGAAGUUAAAGAAAGUAGAUUUGUUAACUAAACAUGUCAAGCCUAACUUUUAGGAUUUUGAACUAGGGCCAGAAGCCUAUUAUGCAGGAAUAGGAACAAAGGAAAACAUCCCAACUAAUUCUAGGGGAAAAUGUAUGUUUAAAUAUAAGUUCUAGAGUGUACUGCAGUAAAAUACAAAAAUAUUAUAUGCUUUUGUUGUAGGUGUAAACUAAAUAAAUAAAAGUGUUCCUCUCUAACUACUUGAGUUUUCUGGAUGAGGUAGUUACAUAAUUCAGUAUGGUACUAGAGAAAAAUAUAUGGUACAUUGGUACUACCGGAAACAUAUAUUCUAAGUUUGAAUGUUACUUUCAUUCAUCAGUAGCAGUUUUUUCACAUGCCUGGUUUGUGCAAAAAGGUCAUGCCCUCACAUGUGGAGACGUGAUGCAGAUUUUAAGUAAAUAAAUAACAGCAUUCCUUCUCUAACAUGUUAGGUUUUUCGGAUGAGGUGGUCACACAAUUUAUUAAUUUUCACAUUAGCUUAUCUUUUGUACAAUUGUAAUUCUUUUAUAAGGUUUCUGCAACUAUAACUUUUGUGAUGUAAGAAAAAUCAAUUAUAAUGUUAGCACUCUCUGUUGCUGUAUAUAAACCUUAUUAUUUUGAAGACACCUUCAACAUAUGUUGUCUUUCUUUUACGUACUCAGUUGGAUUUUGACAUCAUGUCUCCUCAAGUACAUUUAACUCCAUUUGGUUUCUGAUUUUUGAAAACUCUCAAACAGACCCAAUUUUUUAUUUUAUUUUUAUAUAUAGGUUCAUAUUUUCAAACUACUUUUUUGGCUUCUCGGAGGGUUGGACCUUGUGGCUACUGGCUUCACAGGCCCUUCCCUCUUUUCUCUCUCUUUUUUUUCCUCUUUUCCCCUUUGUUUUGGUCUAAAUAGCGAGCAAGGUGUUUUUUAUUUUUGACUUUUUGGAUUUCUAGAGAUAAGAUUAAUAGCAAAUAAAGAUGUUUACUUAAUUCUUCUUCUAAUUAUAACUAUAUAUGUGAAAGUCUAUCAAUGUUUUAAGACUUCACUGAUACUGUUUCAUGAGUUUUCCUACCCAAAUCCAAAUACAAUAAUUUUUCAAAACCGAUUCUUCAAAAAUUAAAUCCAGACAUGCAUCAUUGCUAUCAAGAAACCAAAGAUAAAUGUAAAUCUGCUGAUGCAUGACAGAUUGUCCAAGCUAUGGUAGGUAGUCCUUUUCUAAGCGGCUGAUUGGCAGAAAUGACAAAUUGGUUGUGGAUGCACCCAAAAUUUCUUUUGUAUUUUAAUUGUUUCUUUUUGUUAAGAACCUGUGAGAUCUUCAAACCAACUUUGUCAUUUCCCAGAUAAUGCUUCUGAGGCACAUAUUCAAGUAAGAUACAAUGUUUUGGAGAUACCUAUCAAUCUCCCUUCUCAGAAACCUCCUGCAGAUAAGCCGAAUCCCAAACAAGGAAUCAGUAAGUCUUUGGUUCAAAUAUUUUAUUAAGUGAGAAAUUUCAUCACUGUCUUUUGUCUUCAUAUUCUUAGUUGUUCCUGUUUAUUUAUGAAUAUCACCUAAAUAUGGCAAAUAUUAGAUAAAAGUUGAACAAUUGGAUAUUUGUUUAGGAGAUUUUGAACAUUUAUCAUCUUUUCAAUGGCCACGUAGUUCUUGUUUUCCUUCUUGACAACUAAACCUUUAUAGUAACAUUUAUUGACUUGAGCGAUAAGUCUGAUAAUGCUCUAAUUUCUGAAUGAUAACUAUUAGCUUUCUAUUUGAUGAGGAUCUGUUCUAUCUCAAAGUGAGCUUUAUCAGCCUAGUAUCUUCAUCGUCAAGGAUUCAUGCAGAACGUUUCUGAAUUUAUAGAUCUAUGAUCUACAAGUAGAAGCUUGUUUUGGUUGGCUAACCUAUCUAUUGAAUCUCCAUAAGAUCAGAGAAACUACUCUCUAGGCUCACAAAUGAGUGCUUCGUUAUGCGAAACUUAAUUGCAGGCCUGAUGUCAUGGAGCAGCGAUUGUCAAUAUAUUUGCACUCGCAAUGAUAGCAUGCCUACUGUACUCUGGAUAUGGGACAUAAACCAUCUUGAGCUAGCUGCCAUCUUAGUUCAGAAAGAUCCCAUCCGGACUGCAGCCUGGGAUCCCACAUGUCCACGUUUGGUUUUAUGUACUGGAAGCUCCCACUUGUACAUGUGGACACCUUUGGGUGCUUAUUGCAUAAAUGUUCCAUUGCCUCAAUUUGCUGUAAUUGAUCUGAAAUGGAACUCAGAUGGGAGCUGCCUUUUUCUCAAAGACAAGGAGUCAUUCUGCUGUGCUGCUCCGGAGAUACUGCAGGAAUCCAGUGAUUAU
rnacentral:lncRNA from 1 species